rnacentral:rRNA from 1 species
AUGGAAGCCAAGUUCUUUCGGUUCCUGAAGCUUGUUGGAGUUGGCUUCAAAGCCAGGACAGAGCGCGAAGGCCGCGAGUUGUUUCUGAAACUGGGCUACAGCCAUGAGGUGCAGUUCACCGCUCCACCUGCCGUCCGCGUCUUCUGCUUCAAGCCCAACAUAAUAUGCUGUACUGGCAUUGACAAGCAUAGAGUGCACCAUUUCGCUGGAGCUGUCCGAUGCAGUAAACCUCCAGAAGUGUACAAGGGGAAGGGCAUACUGUACAUCGACGAGGUCAUAAAGCUGAAGCCGGGGAAGAAACAGCAGAAGAAGUAA